rnacentral:rRNA from 1 species
AUUGAACGCUGGCGGCAUGCCUUACACAUGCAAGUCGAACGGCAGCACGUGAGCUUGCUCCUGGUGGCGAGUGGCGAACGGGUGAGUAAUAUAUCGGAACGUGCCCUGGAGUGGGGGAUAACUAGUCGAAAGAUUAGCUAAUACCGCAUACGAUUUAAGGAUGAAAGUGGGGGAUCGCAAGACCUCCUGCUCGUGGAGCGGCCGAUAUCUGAUUAGCUAGUUGGUGAGGUAAAGGCUCACCAAGGCAUCGAUAAGUAGCUGGUCUGAGAGGACGACCAGCCACACUGGGACUGAGACACGGCCCAGACUCCUACGGGAGGCAGCAGUAGGGAAUUUUGGACAAUGGGCGCAAGCCUGAUCCAGCAAUGCCGCGUGAGUGAAGAAGGCCUUCGGGUUGUAAAGCUCUUUUGUCAGGGAAGAAACGGUGAGGGUUAACACCUCUUGCUAAUGACGGUACCUGAAGAAUAAGCACCGGCUAACUACGUGCCAGCCGCCGCCGUAA